rnacentral:rRNA from 1 species
GAGCAGAGGGGGCAAGCGUUGCUCGGAAUUACUGGGCGUAAAGGGCGCGUAGGCGGGAUGGCAAGUCGGUCGUGAAAAUCCCUCGGCUCAACCGAGGAACGUCGAUCGAUACUGCUGUUCUUGAGGGAUUGCAGAGGAGACUGGAAUUCCCGGUGUAGCGGUGAAAUGUGUAGAGAUCGGGAGGAACACCGGUGGCGAAGGCGGGUCUCU